UGACCAGUCAGUGGAAAAGCAAUAUCUUUGGCAGGCACACACCAUCCUGCAAGAGAUAAAAGAAUCUUUACAGAAACGAGAGAGGGAAGUCACUGAGCUCUUACAGUGUGAAAGAAAAUUUAACAAGGCAAUGAAACCCCAAGUGACAGUGCUAACAUUCUUGAAAUCGCUUAUCAAGAUGGUUCACACCAUAUAUUGUGAUGUCCCUGAGGCACAGCAAUGCAUCCAUCAGCUUCUCAGGAAGAACAAGGAUGAAAGCCCUGAUCUGGAAGAAGUUUUUAAUUAUGCUCAGGCUGACAUUCUGUCCUAUGAAAUAUUUUUUGGAAAUGAACUUAUGGAUGACACGAGGACACACCUCCCAGCGAGCCUUUUCAGAAACAUUGGGAAAGCAAAGUCUGAUUUAGAACAUGUUGAAACGGAAAAAAUUGUUUUAGACUGUAUCCAGACAGGAGAAAUUCCCAACUGGAUUAAAAGGGAUUGUCUUUAUGUAGCCUGGUCAGGUGAGAAAUCCUCUUGUCAAAUCACAGAAACUUAACUAUCCUCACCCAACUAACUUUUGAAUACAUAAAACAGCAGUGCAGCAGUAAAAAGCAUGUUCUUGCCAUGCCUUAAGGGUUCCCAUACCACAGCUUCCAUUUUGUGCAUUUUAGUGAGCUACUAUAUGAUUAUAUCUAUAUUACUAUAUGAUUGUAAUAAUGGGUCAUGGAUGGUAAACACAGGGCUUCUGAAUUUAUACUCCACCAUGCAUCUUUUCUUUGGUACCUUUAUCAUUUUGAAAAUCGAUGUCAUUUUAUAUUGUGUCUAAAUAUCUCAAUGCAUGUUCUAGGUAGAUGCACCCAGAAUCUCCCCAGAUUUGGCAGACAUGCACUGAAUGAAAUAACAAAUGUGGAAUUCACAUGGCAGCAACCCUCUUUCAUGAAAACUUAAAAAUAUCCAUUGCAUUAAUUUAACACACACUGCUCUUUUAGUGGGACUAGCAGAAAAUCUUUUUCAACUAUUUGAUUGGCUUUUUCUAUGAUUCUGCAACCCAAAAUCUGGUCUUGGUGACUUAGGGAAAGGAAAGCAGAUUUUUUUUUCCUAUUUGAAAAAAGUGAUUAUUUCUAAUUCAGAAGAUUUACUGGGUUAUAUAUUGAUCCUGUGUAACUAUAUAAUUAUGGGAACUCUCCAGAAGACCCUGCAAUAUACUCUGAGGAGACAGAGUCACCAUUCUGAGGAACUCAUGCAGAAGUUUAAAAUGGAAAUCAAGGUAAUAUCUUACAGUGUAUCACCCCAUAUGGUUUUUAAUAAGUUAUUUAUAAUGUGCUCAUUUUCCCAGCUAUUCUUAAGGGAAUUGAGAUUUGCUCCUUUUCUGUGAUGUCUAAGCACAUUUAUAUCCAAGAAUGAGAUAGUUUUGCUAACUAGUGAAUUUCAGGGUUACAGUUUUCUGUAUAUGAGAGAAUUCCCAUGUUGAAUUUUGCACCUGUAUAUCUGUUGUGUUGCUCAUGUACAAGUCUUUAUGCAUCUUUCUGGCCC
rnacentral:lncRNA from 1 species